rfam:Otolemur garnettii contig139347, whole genome shotgun sequence.
UUGCUUUAGCAGCAUAUAUAGUAAAAUUGGAAGAACACACAAAAGAUUAGCUUGGCCCCUGCACAAGGACAACAUGCAAAUUUAAGAUGUGUUAGAUUUAAAA